rnacentral:rRNA from 1 species
GGAAACAGGUUAAUAUUCCUGUACUUGGUGUUACUGCGAAGGGGGGACGGAGAAGGCUAUGUCAGCCGGGCGACGGUUGUCCCGGUUUAAGCAUGUAGGCGGAGGUUCCAGGUAAAUCCGGUACCUUUUAACGCUGAGGUGUGAUGACGAGGCACUACGGUGCUGAAGUGAUAAAUGCCCUGCUUCCAGGAAAAGCCUCUAAGCAUCAGGUAACACGAAAUCGUACCCCAAACCGACACAGGUGGUCAGGUAGA